rnacentral:rRNA from 1 species
GACGAACGCGGCGGCGUGCCUAAUACAUGCAAGUAGAACGCUGAAGGAGGAGCUUGCUCUUCUGGAUGAGUUGCGAACGGGUGAGUAACGCGUAGGUAACCUGCCUGGUAGCGGGGGAUAACUAUUGGAAACGAUAGCUAAUACCGCAUAAUAUUGAUUAUUGCAUGAUAGUCAAUUAAAAGGUGCAAUUGCAUCACUACCAGAUGGACCUGCGUUGUAUUAGCUAGUUGGUGAGGUAACGGCUCACCAAGGCAACGAUACAUAGCCGACCUGAGAGGGUGAUCGGCCACACUGGGACUGAGACACGGCCCAGACUCCUACGGGAGGCAGCAGUAGGGAAUCUUCGGCAAUGGACGGAAGUCUGACCGAGCAACGCCGCGUGAGUGAAGAAGGUUUUCGGAUCGUAAAGCUCUGUUGUAAGAGAAGAACGAGUGUGAGAGUGGAAAGUUCACACUGUGACGGUAUCUUACCAGAAAGGGACGGCUAACUACGUGCCAGCAGCCGCGGUAAUACGUAGGUCCCGAGCGUUGUCCGGAUUUAUUGGGCGUAAAGCGAGCGCAGGCGGUUAGAUAAGUCUGAAGUUAAAGGCUGUGGCUUAACCAUAGUACGCUUUGGAAACUGUUUAACUUGAGUGCAAGAGGGGAGAGUGGAAUUCCAUGUGUAGCGGUGAAAUGCGUAGAUAUAUGGAGGAACACCGGUGGCGAAAGCGGCUCUCUGGCUUGUAACUGACGCUGAGGCUCGAAAGCGUGGGGAGCAAACAGG